rnacentral:rRNA from 1 species
CCUACGGGUGGCUGCAGUAAGGAAUAUUGGUCAAUGGACGCAAGUCUGAACCAGCCAUGCCGCGUGGAGGAUGAAGGCCCUCUGGGUUGUAAACUUCUUUUAUGGGGGACGAAACCCCGGAUUUUUAUCCGGCCUGACGGUACCCCAGGAAUAAGCACCGGCUAACUCCGUGCCAGCAGCCGCGGUAAUACGGAGGGUGCAAGCGUUAUCCGGAUUCACUGGGUUUAAAGGGUGCGUAGGCGGGUUUGUAAGUCAGUGGUGAAAUCCCGAAGCUU